AAGUCGUACGAACUGAGGGGGGCUUGCUCCCCGAAGUUAGUGGCGAACGGGUGCGUAACACGUGAGCAACCUGCCUCCCGGCGGGGGACAGCCGGCCUAACGGCCGGUUAAUACCGCGUAUUGCACUGGAGUCGCAUGGCUUCAGUGUGAAAGUGGCCGCAAGGUCACGCCGGUUGAGGGGCUCGCGGCCUAUCAGCUUGUUGGUGGGGUAACGGCUCACCAAGGCUACGACGGGUAGCUGGUCUGAGAGGAUGAUCAGCCACAUUGGGACUGAGAUACGGCCCAGACUUCUACGGAAGGCAGCAGUAGGGAAUAUUGCGCAAUGGCCGUAAGGCUGACGCAGCGAACGCCGCGUGUGGGAUGACGGCCUUCGGGUUGUAACCACUGUCAGGAGGGACGAAUACUCGGUUUCGAAUAGGGGACCGAGGGUGACGGUACCUCCAGAGGAAGCACCGGCCAACUCCGUGCCAGCAGCCGCGGGAAAGACGGAGGGUGCAAGCGUUGUCCGGAUUCAUUGGGCGUAAAGCGGGCGUAGCGGGCUAUUUAAGUCAUCUGUGAAA
rnacentral:rRNA from 1 species